CCUACGGGAGGCAGCAGUGGGGGAUAUUGCACAAUGGGGGGAACCCUGAUGCAGCAACGCCGCGUGGGUGAAGAAGCGCCUCGGCGCGUAAAGCCCUGUCAGCAGGGAAGAAAAUGACGGUACCUGAAGAAGAAGCCCCGGCUAACUACGUGCCAGCAGCCGCGGUAAUACGUAGGGGGCAAGCGUUAUCCGGAUUUACUGGGUGGAAAGGGGGCGCAGACGGCGAUGCAAGCCAGGAGUGAAAGCCCGGGGCCCAACCCCGGGACUGAUCUUGGAACUGCGUGGCUGGAGUGCAGGAGGGGCAGGCGGAAUUCCUGGUGUAGCGGUGAAAUGCGUAGAUAUCAGGAGGAACACCGGUGGCGGAGGCGGCCUGCUGGACUGCAACUGACGUUGAGGCCCGAAAGCGUGGGGAGCAAACAGGAUUAGAUACCCCGGUAGUC
rnacentral:rRNA from 1 species